rnacentral:rRNA from 1 species
GGGUCAGUAGGUUGGUCGUGCCACCGGUACGUACUGGUCUCACUGAUUCCUCCUUCCUGAAGAACCGUAAUGCCAUUAAUUUGGUGUUGCGGGGAAACAGGACUGUUACUUUGAAAAAAUUAGAGUGUUUAAAGCAAGCUAACGCUUGAAUACAUUAGCAUGGAAUAAUGAAAUAGGACGAUCGAUCCUAUUUUGUUGGUUUCUAGGAUUGACGUAAUUAUUAAUAGGUAUAGUUGGG